rnacentral:rRNA from 1 species
UACGGGAGGCAGCAGUGGGGAAUAUUGGACAAUGGGCGGAAGCCUGAUCCAGCCAUGCCGCGUGUGUGAAGAAGGCCUUUUGGUUGUAAAGCACUUUAAGCGAGGAGGAGGCUCUCCUAGUUAAUACCUAGGAAGAGUGGACGUUACUCGCAGAAUAAGCACCGGCUAACUCUGUGCCAGCAGCCGCGGUAAUACAGAGGGUGCGAGCGUUAAUCGGAUUUACUGGGCGUAAAGCGUGCGUAGGCGGCUGAUUAAGUCGGAUGUGAAAUCCCUGAGCUUAACUUAGGAAUUGCAUUCGAUACUGGUCAGCUAGAGUAUGGGAGAGGAUGGUAGAAUUCCAGGUGUAGCGGUGAAAUGCGUAGAGAUCUGGAGGAAUACCGAUGGCGAAGGCAGCCAUCUGGCCUAAUACUGACGCUGAGUCGAAAGCAUGGGGAGCAAACAGGAUUAGAAUAACC